rnacentral:rRNA from 1 species
AUGAACGCUAGCGGCAGGCUUAACACAUGCAAGUCGAGGGGUAGAGGAAGCUUGCUUCCUUGAGACCGGCGCACGGGUGCGUAACGCGUAUGCAACCUACCUUUUACAGAGGGAUAGCCCAGAGAAAUUUGGAUUAAUACCUCAUGGUAUAUAUCAUUCGCAUGUUUGAUAUAUUAAAGUUCCAACGGUAAAAGAUGGGCAUGCGUCCUAUUAGCUAGAUGGUAAGGUAACGGCUUACCAUGGCAACGAUAGGUAGGGGUCCUGAGAGGGAGAUCCCCCACACUGGUACUGAGACACGGACCAGACUCCUACGGGAGGCAGCAGUGAGGAAUAUUGGACAAUGGGCGCAAGCCUGAUCCAGCCAUGCCGCGUGCAGGAAGAAGCAUCUAUGGUGUGUAAACUGCUUUUGUACGGGAAGAAACACUCCUUCGUGAAGGAGCUUGACGGUACCGUAAGAAUAAGGAUCGGCUAACUCCGU